AGAGUUUGAUCCUGGCUCAGGAUGAACGCUGGCGGCGUGCUUAACACAUGCAAGUCGAACGAACCUUCGGGUUAGUGGCGGACGGGUGAGUAACGCGUGAGAAUCUGCCCUCAGGAGGGGGAUAACGGUUGGAAACGACCGCUAAUACCCCAUAUGCCUAUUGGUGAAAUGAAUUUCGCCUGAGGAUGAGCUCGCGUCUGAUUAGCUAGUUGGUGAGGUAAUGGCUCACCAAGGCUUCGAUCAGUAGCUGGUCUGAGAGGAUGAUCAGCCACACUGGGACUGAGACACGGCCCAGACUCCUACGGGAGGCAGCAGUGGGGAAUUUUCCGCAAUGGGCGAAAGCCUGACGGAGCAACGCCGCGUGAGGGACGAAGGCCUCUGGGCUGUAAACCUCUUUUCUCAAGGAAGAAGAUAUGACGGUACUUGAGGAAUAAGCCACGGCUAAUUCCGUGCCAGCAGCCGCGGUAAUACGGGAGUGGCAAGCGUUAUCCGGAAUUAUUGGGCGUAAAGCGUCCGCAGGCGGCUUUUCAAGUCUGCUGUUAAAGCGUGGAGCUUAACUCCAUCAUGGCAGUGGAAACUGAAAGGCUUGAGUAUGGUAGGGGCAGAGGGAAUUCCCGGUGUAGCGGUGAAAUGCGUAGAUAUCGGGAAGAACACCAGUGGCGAAGGCGCUCUGCUGGGCCAUUACUGACGCUCAUGGACGAAAGCCAGGGGAGCGAAAGGGAUUAGAUACCCCUGUAGUCCUGGCCGUAAACGAUGAACACUAGGUGUCGGGGGAAUCGACCCCUUCGGUGUCGUAGCUAACGCGUUAAGUGUUCCGCCUGGGGAGUACGCACGCAAGUGUGAACUCAAGGAAUUGACAGGGGCCCGCACAAGCGGUGGAGUAUGUGGUUUAAUUCGAUGCAACGCGAAGAACCUUACCAGGGUUUGACAUCCUGCGAACCUCUUAGAAAUUUGAGGGUGCCUUCGGGAAUGCAGUGACAGGUGGUGCAUGGCUGUCGUCAGCUCGUGUCGUGAGAUGUUGGGUUAAGUCCCGCAACGAGCGCAACCCACGUUUUUAGUUGCCAGCAUUUAGUUGGGCACUCUAGAAAGACCGCCGGUGAUAAACCGGAGGAAGGUGUGGAUGACGUCAAGUCAUCAUGCCCCUUACACCCUGGGCUACACACGUACUACAAUGCUACGGACAAAGGGCAGCAAACUCGCGAGAGCUAGCAAAUCCCAUAAACCGUGGCUCAGUUCAGAUCGUAGGCUGCAACUCGCCUACGUGAAGUAGGAAUCGCUAGUAAUCGCAGGUCAGCAUACUGCGGUGAAUACGUUCCCGGGCCUUGUACACACCGCCCGUCACACCAUGGAAGUUGGCCAUGCCCGAAGUCGUUACUCCAACCCUUGUGGAGGAGGACGCCGAAGGUGGGGCUAAUGACUGGGGUGAAGUCAUAACAAGGUAGCCGUA
rnacentral:rRNA from 1 species